rnacentral:tRNA from 1 species
GCCCUGGUGGCGGAAUUGGUAGACGCGCUGGUUUCAGGUAUCAGUAACCGCAAGGUUGUGGGGGUUCGAGUCCCUUCCUGGGCA